GAUGAACGCUGGCGGCGUGCUUAAUACAUGCAAGUCGAACGGAAAGGCCCUGCUCUUGUGGGGUGCUCGAGUGGCGAACGGGUGAGUAACACGUGAGUAUCCUGCCCCUGUCUUUGGGAUAACUUCAGGAAACUGGGGCUAAUAUCCGAUAGGAGCUCCUGCUGCACGGGGGGGGUUGGAAAGUUUCGGCGGUUGGGGCUGGUCUCGCGGCUUAUCAGCUUGAUGGUGGGGUAGUGGCUUACCAAGGCUUUGACGGGUAGCCGGCCUUGGAGGGGGACCGGCCUCAAUGGUACUGCGGGACGGCCCAGACUCCUACGUGAGGCAGCAGGGGAGAAUAUUGCACAAUGGGCGGAAGCCUGAUGCAGCAACGCCGCGUGCGGGAUGACGGCCUUCUGGUUGUAAACCGCUUUCGCCUGAGACGAAGCGGGAGUGACGGUAAUGAGUAAAGAAGCACCGGCUAACUACGUG
rnacentral:rRNA from 1 species